UCUAUCGUAUCUUCUGUCGGUGGUGCAUCAGUGUGCGCGAAUAUCAACACACACAUAACCGAGGUGACAUGCCGCUGCGUGUUUUCACUGUGGGACUGAGAAUCCUAGCGGCCUACGUGACAGCCACAGGCAUCUUAAGCCUGGUCCCGACCAUGGUUCGCACCUACCUCCGGCAGCGGCGACCCAGUUCACUGAUGGCCGGCCAUGUGAACCGCACACUCUUUGGGGUGCUGCUAAUGCUCCUCUGCCUUGGCGUGGGUGUUGAAACAGGUGGCUUGAUGGUGAUACUCGUGGGAGUCUACCUGAUGUCCACAGGGAUCUUCCGGCUGGCCAGAAAGGAAAUCUGCAUAUCUUCUGAACUCAGCAUCGCUUCUUCACAACAUGCAACAAUAUCUCAAAGUCUGGAAGAAACGCAUGCGGAGGUAUGGCUCCUGAAAUGGGUUUAACGUUGUCGUUCUGAACAAUAUCAAGAAUGCACCAUCAUGGCAAUCUUUCCAAUGUAUUUGCUCCUUGUUGACUUUAUGUAUACAAAUUAUGCAUAAUAUGUUGUAUAAUGUAUUUGUGUGUAAUCAUUAUUGGAAGGAAAAAUGUCAAUAAGAAGAAU